UACACCAGCUGUUUUUCUGAAAUACUUGAAAAGCACAUAAAGAGGAAAAGAAAGACCAGAUGGGAGACAAAACGGUUCUGCACUCAGAGAUCAUGGGGCAGUACAGAUUGCUUUCUUAUCCUUGUGCAACUGCCAAAGCUCAUGCUAUCGUUGUCAGUAAAGCUUGCAUUAGAGUCAUUCUUGUGACAUUUGUCUAACAAUAGAUCAUGACAGCAUGACAAGUGUUUGCACCCAAACAUUCACCCACUUCUGUGCUUUUUCUGGUUUUUAUCUUGCCAACAGAAAUGUGAGAGAAUUUAGGUGAAGUUAUUUCCAAUCUUGCAUUUUUAUUUUCUUUUUUUUUUCCUUGCUUGUUUCUGCUUUAAGAAAGGACAACAGUUGUGCAAAUUUCCAGUCCCACAAUAGAAGGUGAUUCAGGAAAAGUGCUUAGCACUUUGUCUUCUGGCUCAUCUCCCCUAACACUUACACUUUGUCCUUCCCUUUCAGGGAACACCAUGUUCAGUUCAGUAUUCAAAACUGCGGGGUUUGUGUGGAAAACAUUAUACUAGCAGGUCAGUUUCCUGGUUUUAUGUGGCUCUAAAGGGUGCAAUACUGACACAAAGCAACUUUUCCAGCAGAGCCAUCUAACUAAAAAAUGACACUCAACCACUAAAGCAUUCCCCAGUGGUGAGACGGCGGCUGAAGAUUGCUGAGGGAUAUUAGUGAUGUGCUCAAUCAGUUCUGACUCAAAUUAGAAACAACUGGAAUUAGUGAGAGAAGAAAACUGCUUCGUUCCAACCAAAUUUUAAAAGAUACCAUAUUACUAGUGUGAGACAAUUAACAAUUCAGAUCAUCUCUCUGAGAGAAAGCUGAGAAAGUCCCAUUUUGAUGUGCCAAGGCGUCACAAGAGAAGGUCUGCCCAAGCCUGGAUGCUGUGAUUGCCUUGUGCUUGUCACUGCCAGCUGCUUUCCAGUUGCCUCCCUGAAUCCACCACACCACUGGCUCUUGGCUCCUACGUGCUCCAGGCUUUCUGUGAUUUCCAUGCAUUGUUGUGGACUCCAUAACCAGAUCAAAAUAAAGAACGUGAAGUAUGGAUGAUGGUAAGGGGUGUUUUCCAGCUCUGGACUGGCUCUGCUCCUCCAUGGCUGUCCCUUCCCAUAGAGCUCACUUCUAAAGAAGGAAGCAAACUGAAGCAGCAGUGUUUGUCCUCAGCAAGUCCUUUAGAACAACGACAUGGGGCCCACCUGGAAGAAGAUGAUGUUUGACAUACUGGAGGAAGUACAGAGUCCCUUGUUUUAACCAUAUUCAAUGUCUGAGCAGUAUUGCACGUAAUAAUUUCCAACAAGAAACAGCAUUUGUUUGUCACUUAUUAGUUCAAGCCACCAAGCACAGAAAGUGCUUAAUCAAUUCCUCUCCUCACAGUCAUCUGAUCAAUUUGUAGUGACAAAGCAAAAGCAGAGAAUGAAUGUUCUCUAGCCCAGAUUGCACAAGGACCUUUCUAAAAGCAGUGUUUCCAGAGCUGUUGGUAUUAAGGGUCAAUAUCAUUAGAUUUCAAGGUUAUAUCUGUUUCUCAGUUUUACAAUAUCUCUGAUUCAGCCUAAUGAAUAAGAAUUGAAUCAAAGACCUUUGUUCUUUCAUUCUUGAACAUGAAAAGAUGUCACUAAUUUUUUUCUGUCCUUUAUGUCCCCAGGCAAUGUUAAUGCCUUUCAAGAGCGCUAAGCAAAGCGUGAAGGUCACUGCUCUUCUGUAGCAUUAGCAGUAGGCUCCUGAGCACCAGGUGUCUUUGCUUGCCUCUAAAUGCCAUUUUCCCAGCUUGUGUGUGCAAUGCUGUCAUUGCAGUCUGACAGAGGGCUUCACCUUUGUUCUCCAGAGGAUAGUGUUUCAGUGAUCCUUCUAAAAUGUAAAACUUUUCCACAACUGGGCACCAAGCUCUUGCAGUGUUGCAAGGUAUCAUGUGGGAUGACAGCAAGUAUUCUGGGCUCGGUGCUGUGAGAUGCUGAGGCAAAAUAUUAAUUGAAUUUGCCACUUCAAGGGACAUUUGCAUUACUGUGACAGCUAGAUCUGCUCUACCUCGGCUUACCUUUAAAGCGAGAUAUUACAUGUUUCCUUUGUCCCAGUUGCAGAACAAAUGAGCAAACAUUGCCAUAGAGAAAAGGCCCACGACUUUCCUGAAGAUAGCAGCCACAAAAAGCUGCUUGCAGUGUUGGCAGUCUCACUGCCUCUCAUCUUCUUUUCAGCUGCUAUUCUGUGAUUCUGUAAUAACAAACAGUUGUGCUGAGGUGGUUAUUGCAUCUUUACAGAAUAGCAUCCCACAGAUAUUAUCAGAAAUUCAAAGGCAUCUUAGUGUUUGUUGGCUUGUGAAGAACAUGCUAACCGUUGUUUGUUUGGAGAACAGUCAGUUUGGGCCUCUGUGAUACUGUGUAGCCUUAAUUAAGUCAGUAAUCAUUCAAUGCUUGUUCUCAUUUCAUGUAUAAUAGGGAAAAUACAGGUUUUCUUCUCAGGAGUUUGCAGCACUGGUUAUUGUAAAGCUAUUGUUGAACAACCAGUUUCUUGGGCAGGAAACUCCAGAGGAACAUGGAGUGCUUCCAGUUACAGGAGAGCUGGCAGGAAAUCAACUCACUUCUUUCCAGUGUUUAUCCUGAGAUAAUGAAAUGCUCAGACCAAGCUACCAAGUGCCAAAAGAGGGCUGACAGAAUAAGGAAUGUUUCACGUAAGUUCACAAUGGCCUCAUCUUUAAGUUAGGAAAUUACACUGUGACCAAACAACUAACAGUUUUAUUCUGUGGCUUUCCUAUCCUAUCCUGGUACAUAACGGCUCCACGACCUGAGAAGCAGUUCAGUGUUUGUAGUGAUUAAAGUGCACUAAAAUGCUCUGGGUGACAACUCCUGUACAAACAUGGAGUUUUCACUUCUUUUCUUUCUUUUGUUUUAUCAGAUGGCUUUCAGCUGCUAAGAAAAACUCUCCAGGUUAUGUUUAAAGCACCACGUUUCAGUUGUGCAUUAACAGGAUGAGAACUCCCACUAUACUCACGAUUAUGAGUGUAUGUAUGCAUUACUAUCAUGCUGUUCAUAAAUCCCCAUCUGAAAUCACCUCUCCAAAGUGGUCUUACUUUUACAAAUCCAUGUUGUUCAAAUUUUUUACUAGCUGAAGAAAGGAUAACAAAUCAGACUAUUACCAAACCAAUUCCUAUAUUACAAACAAGACUGUAAAACAAAGCAAGAUGUAUAAAGCACUAUAUUUGGAACUAAUAUACCACUGGUAAUUGUAACUAGUGGUAAGAGUAGAAGGCAAUAACAACAAACUAGAUAUAUGUGAUUUGGUAUCUAAAAUUAGUAUAAUUAGUGGUUAUAGUGUUUGCUUCAAGAGUGGAUGCUGAAUAUGAAAGCACUGGGAGGCUACAGAUAUGGAAUAAGAAGUUAGACAUCACAAAUUUCGUACAGAAUUAGAUCAUUAAAGUCUUAGGAGUCUCAGAGAAAUCUGCUUUGUUUAGAUUCUGGGCCAUCUUGUUGAUACAGCAUCUGGAAAGUCAGAGCAUGAUAGACACUGAGAUAUUUUCCAGGGACGUUGCACUUCCAUACAGAAGCUACCUGGGCAAGUUCCUCUCUCUCAGUUUCAUGAUAAUGAAAAUGGUCAGUAGACUGAAUUUCUUUCCGUAUCAAAUACAAAGUUUGAAGAUAGUAUUCUUUCCCAGCAUGAUGAUUUACACGCAGUCUCCCAGACCAUCGCAGUGGGUGUGGACAUAAGAAUGCUCACACGCUACCCUCACAAGCUGCAGAAAUAAGUUGUUUUUGGCAGAUGUACACAGUCUGGCAAGCUGCAAAGCUGCUUUUUACAAUGCAAUGCAGGAACAGAACCACCAGAACAAGCCCUUUUCUGCUUACAUAACAUCAUGCAGCUUCUUUACCUGACAGCUUAUUUUGUCCAGAAUGAAUACAAAGGACACUUGGGACACAACAGGAUGUGGCAGCAGUGCUUUUCAAAUAUCAGCACAAGAACAGCAGUCCAUUAGCAAUCUUUUCACAGCUGCAGGAGGCACCCUGUUGUGAAUGCUUUUGUGAUUUAAAACUACGCAUCUGAGAGUGUAUUUAACAAAUUAAAAUUGGUCACAAUUCCUUUUCGAGUACAUUGCUGCUUUAUUAAAGGAAGUUGGCCGUAUGCUUAAAUCAAUACAAAUGAGUGAAAAGGAAAACAGAGAAUGGUUUGGAAGCUGUGAGACUGAGUUAAGCUGCUUUACUCCUAAGACGAUCCGCCAAUCCUGAAGAGACCAGCAAGUGUUCCGUAUUUCUAAGUACGCUAUUAUAACCGUGGAUCUAUCACACUUACUGUAUCACCUCAGAGGAGUUGGAGGAACAGUUUUCUUCCCAAGAGGACGUAAAAUUUAUCCUUUGUAACAUCCGUUGAAAAGAAAGAGCAGGAGCACUGGCCUUUUGAUAAUGCCCUUGUAAUAUCGGAGCAAGAUGGUUAUAAGCCAAGAUUUGCAGUGCAAUUCUCAUAUCUCAGCCAAUUUUGAUUAUGUCUCAUGAACACCAUUUUUAGGUCGAGAAUAGAUUGCUGGGAACAUCACUAACUAUGUAUAAUUUAUAACAUGCUGAAAUGCAGCAGGCUGAUCAGAUUUAAUGCUUUAUCACUCUCAUGUCUUAGUGCAACAGAAUUUCCUUAAUUCGGGCUUGCCAAAACUAGAGAUACAAAAUUGGAUGAUGCUUCACGAAUGUAUCUGUACUAACACACUUGACACCUUUUAAAUGCAAAGUUAAUAGUAUCUAAACUCUGUUCACACGCUACUAAAAAACAAGCAAACAAACUACAAAUCUCUUCAGUGUGCACUUAUAUGUGGCUUUAAUUAUCUGCUAUGUGUGUCCGUUUUAUUCAGGAUGUUCCCAAGUCCCUGCUUGUUGUAUUGUGAACACUGAUAAUUGGAAUAAAGCUUGUACCAGUGUGGCAUUCAUUUGGAUCAAGGAUCUGAACAAAGUACUCAGAGGCAGCGAGCGUUAUGAACUCAAAAGCUCAACAUUUCACUCUGUUCUCCAAUGCCUUGAGCUACCUGUAAUUGCUUACUCUUGAACACAGAACUUGCAAACUCUUUUAUUAAUGGAAUGCCACAUUUAGUGCACAGGUAACCUUUCCCGUGUCUUCAUCUGAAACAGAUCUACUUUCCUGAAAGGCCACAAAAUGUUAACUGACUUAACAGAAAAAAAUAAUCUCACUUUUGUCAUUACUGAUGUUUUUGCAGGCUGCUAAAAGCAGAGCAAAGAGCCUUAAACCUAAGGUAUGCAACAUUUUACAUAUACUGCCAUCUGCCGUUCCAGCAUGCCAGUUUUAUCACUGCCUCUGUGAUUUUUAUUCCAGCAGCAAGCAUAUCCCUUGCAAGGAAUGUUUUGCAAGAAAUCUGUUGCAAGUACAGUUGAGUUGGAAGAAUUACUGUAAUCCAUACAUGAUCUGUCUGAAAUAGCACACAUUGAGAUUCUUUAGCCAUUUAUUCUGCCAUGUACACCUUCAGUUCUGGGCUGUGAUCAAAUCUGUGUUCGUUUUGCUCAGUUUAUUUUAAUAGCAAGCUUGUCUCUUUAUUCAAACCAUAGCCAGAGCUUUCGUGUUCUGAAUCAGUUGUACCUUUGCAGCAAAAUGUACACACCUGUAUCACAGGCUUUGCAUACGUGUAUACAUAAAAUUGUCUAUUUACAUAUACUGCCCUAUUUAGACUGUUUCAGUUAUGGUUUGUAUAUAUGUAAGCUAUAUGAUUUUGUUUAAUUGGAGUCCAACAUGUGAUCAGUUGGCACUGUGCUUCCUAAAUCUAUCAAAAAAAUAUAUAUAGAGAGAGAGAGCCUUUCAAAAGCUGGCUGGAAACUAAAAACAAUUAGUUUGUAAUUGAGCAAGGAGUGAUCACUGUGCACUGGAGAGUGAUCCUAAAGCAGCCAGGUAGACAUGGAAGUCAGAAACACAGUGACAAACCAGUUGGCAAGGCGCUGCAAACAACAUUCUGUUUUUUGAAGUGUUUGUAUGCUUUGUCCAAGGGAAUCUCCUGUCUUAGGCACUUACCUGCUGUUCCACAGUGGGUCAAUUCCCAGCUCUUUGACUUUUUCUACUAUAGCCUCUCUCUUAAACUCUGCUCCUUCAGUUCAUCUGCCCAACAAAACUAAGUUCCUUUUGUUCCUGCUUCUCAUCUCUCCAGUCCAUUUCAUUUGCAAGAUCUAUAGGGGAAUAUGUCUCUAUAUGCAGACAUGCAUCUCAUGCAGACACAUUACUUUUUUGGGCUUGGAAUCGCCUGGACAUGACUUAAAUGCUUCUAGGUCUAAACUAACAGAGAAACAUCCACAUAGACCUAUAAUCACCAGAGACAGCAACAGGCACUGUCUAGGAUGAACAGGCAGCCUGAAGGAACAUCUCACAACUAACAGAGUUGGUGUGCAAGGACAGUACUUUUGUAUCCAAAGGCAGCAAAAUUAGGAAUGAGUGUGUGGACCUGAGUGUGUUGGAACUGGUCCUAAAACAAGCCUCAGUA